rnacentral:rRNA from 1 species
CAGCGCCACGAGUGGGAACCAUAAUUAUUGGGCCUAAAGCGUCCGUAGCCGGUUUAAUAAAUUUCUUGUGAAAUUGUUGAGCUUAACUUAACAAAAUGCAGGAAAGACUGUUAGACUAGGGACUGGGAGGGGUUAGAAGUAUGUUUAGGGUAGCGGUAAAAUGUUAUAAUCCUAAACAGACUACCAAUGGCGAAGGCAUCUAACCAGAACAGGUCCGACGGUGAGGGACGAAAGCCAGGGGAGCAAACCGGAUUAGAUACCCGAGUAGUCC